AGUAAAUAGAUACCCAGGUAGUCCACGCCGUAAACGAUGAAUACUAGGUGUAGGGGUUGUCAUGACCUCUGUGCCGCCGCUAAACGCAUUAAGUAUUCCGCCUGGGGAGUACGGUCGCAAGAUUAAAACUCAAAGGAAUUGGACGGGGCCCGCACAAGCAGCGGAGCAUGUGGUUUAAUUCGAAGCAACGACGAAGAACCUUACCUAGACUUGACAUCUCCUGAAUUACUCUGUAAUGGAGGAAGCCACUUCGGUGGCAGGAAGACAGGUGGUGCAUGGUUGUCGUCAGCUCGUGUCGUGAGAUGUUGGGCUAAGUCCCGCAACGAGCGCAACCCUUAUUGUUAGUUGCUACCAUUUAGUUGAGCACUCUAGCGAGACUGCCCGGGUUAACCGGGAGGAAGGUGGGGAUGACGUCAAAUCAUCAUGCCCCUUAUGUCUAGGGCUACACACGUGCUACAAUGGUCGGUACAAUGAGAUGCAACCUCGCGAGAGUGAGC
rnacentral:rRNA from 1 species